rnacentral:rRNA from 1 species
CCCUUGGCGGCAGACUACACAUGCAAGUCGAGCGGUAACAGAGAGUAGCUUGCUACUCUGCUGACGAGCGGCGGACGGGUGAGUAAUGCUUGGGAAUAUGCCUUAUGGUGGGGGACAACAGUUGGAAACGACUGCUAAUACCGCAUGAUGUCUACGGACCAAAGUGGGGGACCUUCGGGCCUCACGCCAUAAGAUUAGCCCAAGUGGGAUUAGCUAGUUGGUGAGGUAAUGGCUCACCAAGGCGACGAUCCCUAGCUGGUUUGAGAGGAUGAUCAGCCACACUGGGACUGAGACACGGCCCAGACUCCUACGGGAGGCAGCAGUGGGGAAUAUUGCACAAUGGGCGCAAGCCUGAUGCAGCCAUGCCGCGUGUGUGAAGAAGGCCUUCGGGUUGUAAAGCACUUUCAGUAAGGAGGAAAGGUUAAGUGUUAAUAGCACUUAGCUGUGACGUUACUUACAGAAGAAGCACCGGCUAACUCCGUGCCAGCAGCCGCGGUAAU